rfam:Triticum aestivum genome assembly, contig: Triticum_aestivum_CS42_TGACv1_scaffold_456871_5DS
AUACUACUCCCUCCGUCCCAAAAUUCUUGUCUUAGAUUUGUCUAAAUACGGAUGUAUCUAGUUACAUUUUAGUGUUAGAUACAUCCGUAUCUUGGCAAAUUUAAGACAAGAAUUUUGGGACGGAGGGAGUAUAUG